CUAUUGAAACACUGGUUUCUGUACAAUUACUGAAGUUAAGCAACAUUGAGCCUGCUCAGUAUCUAGGUGGGUUACCACUUGGGAAUAACAGGUGCUGCAAGC